UUCUCAAUUUAUGUGUAACCAGGUCAAGUGAGCUCCACUUAAGUAAAAUAUGUAAUGCCUGGAGGGGCCAGUAAGUGGCGCUGUUGUUUUACUUGAGACAAAACUCACGAGCCAGCAAGUCGUCACGGGCGGGAGAAUAACACAGUAUGGCAGCCUGACGGUCCUGGCUCGUCACAUGCGCGUCGAUAAGGGAAAGUGCUUCAUGAUCGAAGAAAUAAGCAGAAGUGAGCUGCGCUUUUGAGGUGAAAGAACUGAGAGUAAGUGGCGUUCUAGAGAGAUAAGAAGCUUCAUAACGGCGAGUCGUAGGGCACCGAAGUAAGCUGUUGCUGUGUAUGGGAAAGGCUCUAGCUAGCCAGGCUAACAGAGUGUUCUGGAAGGCUACGGAGCUGCAGGACGGCGUGAGUUGUUUUCCUUUUUUUUUUGCCAUACACAUCUGUUCCGGGAUUGUUGAUUUUCAUUUCUGUUUACCCAAUGUAUAAUUUUACAAUGCAUGUUCUGCGCAGAGGGGAGACAACAUUUUCUGAGUUGAUCGUUGGUGAGACCGUGCCAGUAGGAGCCGGUCCUUUGUCGUCAUUUUCUAUUGAGACCACUGCUGUUGUCUUGUUGGGAUUAUUUUCUUUUCUUUUUAAAUUCAUCCAAGAUUUUAUGUUUGCUAUACCACCAAAUUAAACCCAAAUUAAUGCUGUUCCCUUUCUCUGGAAUAGUCGGGAAAUAAAAUACCCACAUUAUUUUGGAGCCGCUUGUGUCUGACCAGUUAUUCUACACCUGGCUACAUA